rnacentral:rRNA from 1 species
UACGAAGGGGGCUAGCGUUGUUCGGAAUUACUGGGCGUAAAGCGCACGUAGGCGGAUUGUUAAGUUAGGGGUGAAAUCCCGGGGCUCAACCCCGGAACUGCCUUUAAUACUGGCAAUCUCGAGUCCGAGAGAGGUGAGUGGAAUUCCGAGUGUAGAGGUGAAAUUCGUAGAUAUUCGGAGGAACACCGGUGGCGAAGGCGGCCAACUGGACGAAUACUGACGCUGAGACACGAAAGCGUGGGGAGCAAACAGG